AUGGCCACAUGCUGGGUCUUUCCUAUCUAACCGUAAGUCUCCACACAGGUCCUCAUUGACCACAGCCUGCUUCUUCUGUGGAGCAUUGCCCUUGUUUGUCAAGACCGGUCCAAGUGCCUAUUGUCUGCUGCUUGCUUGCAGUGCUGCCCCAGCUGAUGUUGUCUCCAAACUUACUGUUUCGACCAGGUCGGUUAGAGGUAACAAUGGCCCAGGACGAAUCCUCACCCAAUGCAUACAGCUUGCAGGAAGAACCCUUUUCUCUAUGUAAGAGCCUUGCUGGUGAACCCAAGACCAUGGAAAGGCCAGGUAGCUCCUCACCUGUAGGAGCCCUUUCCCUUGCUGUCCUGCACAUGAUGUCACCGUCAUUUCUACCUCUAUGGCUGGCAAGACCGAGCCCAGCCCAGGCUGAUGCCAACCCCGACUUGUGACCGAGCCGGAGUUGCGGUUUUUGGAGCGGCUGGUUCCACUCUGUCCUUCCGUGAGCCAGUCACCAGAGGGGGACAAAGCCCCACGCACGGCAAGUGCGGAGUUACACUCCGCCCCCCCCUCCCCGAAAGCUCCUUCCAAAGGCGUGCCAGGCUGCGUUUGGGGGUCGCAGGUCCCCAGCUGCACCCCUGGGUGCCCCAAGCCGAGGGUGAGGCCGGUGACAGGGCUGGCUGU